rnacentral:rRNA from 1 species
AGUGAACGCUGGCGGUAGGCCUAACACAUGCAAGUCGAACGGCAGCACAGUAAGAGCUUGCUCUUACGGGUGGCGAGUGGCGGACGGGUGAGGAAUACAUCGGAAUCUACUUUUUCGUGGGGGAUAACGUAGGGAAACUUACGCUAAUACCGCAUACGACCUACGGGUGAAAGCAGGGGAUCUUCGGACCUUGCGCGAUUGAAUGAGCCGAUGUCGGAUUAGCUAGUUGGCGGGGUAAAGGCCCACCAAGGCGACGAUCCGUAGCUGGUCUGAGGGGAUGAUCAGCCACACUGGAACUGAGACACGGUCCAGACUCCUACGGGAGGCAGCAGUGGGGAAUAUUGGACAAUGGGCGCAAGCCUGAUCCAGCUAUACCGCGUGGGUGAAGAAGGCCUUCGGGUUGUAAAGCCCUUUUGUUGGGAAAGAAAAGCAGCAGGUUAAUACCCCGCUGUUCUGACGGUACCCAAAGAAUAAGCACCGGCUAACUUCGUG